rnacentral:lncRNA from 1 species
CUGCCGAAGAGCUGCCAGUCCGGAUGGCAGCUAUCAACACGGCAAGGGCCUGCAGGCGCAUCAGCCCUCCCCCCGUUCCUCUACUGCCAUUGGAGACAGGAUGCUUUGUAAAAGUGGGAGCUCAUGAAGGUGGCACUGUGCACAGAGGGACAGAGUGGCUGACAGUGAGCUGCCCAGGACAACCUGCUGGCUCUCGUGACCAUCUCCGAAAGCCUUUGGAUGGGCUAAUUGACAGGCAUGCCUGGACAUUUAUAAACUGCUGCUCUUAUAUGCACCAUGA